AAGCACCCCUGCCUUAGAGAGCCAGGAUCUUUCAGUCAGAGCUAUGGGUGGAAACAGAGGCUCAAGAUAAAAAUGGCCAACUACCGGACCCAACUCAAGGCACAUGGCACGUCUGCUGAGCUCACAGGGAAUUCUUUAAAAGCAAAAAUUCCAGGGGAUGCCUUUCCGGCAUAGAAUGUGAAGAGUCCUAGAUGAGCUGAGGUCAACCAUUUUCCAUCUUUUCCAAUUGGUGAGACUACAGAAAGCUUGGAACAAGAGAGGAUUUCCCUUUUGGCAGAAAUGCAGAAAAGAAACAACCAGCAAACAGUAAAAGCAAAGAUGGCAAAGACAUUUGGAUACCGAAGACAGGAAAUCGUACAGAAGCAGCCAACCGCUGAAGAAAUUUUGGUGAGAUGGCCAGCACUUCUCCUAAUGGAAGAGAUCAAUGCUGAGUUCCUGCGAAUUCCAACAGUUCCUUUGGAGGCUACGUUUUUGGCACAAGCACUCCACCAAACUGCUGGAGGUCAUUAGGAGGAAGGGAGGACGUGUGAAAGAGCAGACCUCCAGGAUCUUACAAGUUGUAGAUGAGACUGUUGACAUCACCAUCAAAAGAGAAGCUGUCCUUAAGCUCUGAUGAUCUACCUGGGUGAGCCUGUUGAGCAUCUUUUUAAAGAGUACCAGGAUGAGCAGGAGGAUGACCAACUGCAGCUGGAAACCAUGGCGAUCUUUGUCACUGGGAGAGAGGAUCCUUUCCAUCCACCCAAAGACAUCAAGAUAAUCAUCGAUGGAACACAGGUCCUGGAUGAUGGGCCUUCUGUUGCAACAGCUGUUGCCAUGUUCUAUGGGCUCAUAUAUGCACUCAACCUAAAAUAUCCCAAAAAUCUGCAGUACACUCUCGAAUUCUUUCAAAAACUCCUGAUGGAGCUUGGUGGAAAAAAUAUGUCCUCAAAGGUUUAUAGGCUGAGUACCCAACUUCACAGCUGUUAAAUUUGACUUGGUCACUUGAUUUUACUUUUCCAUUGGUUCUUCUACAGUACAUUCAAGACGUUCGCAUUCAGAGAUUUAAAUUGCACGAUGACCUGAGUUUAGAGACAUCGUCACUGUUCUGAAAAACUGAAGAGCAAUUGGAUUUGCAGUGUUUGUUUUUCAGACCAUGAAAGAGGCUGGACCUUCCCCACCCAUAUGUUUGAAAGUUAUGGAACUGAUGAUAAUUCCUUUUGGAAUAGCUCUCACUUUAUUAUUUUUGAUAACAUAUUUUAUGUUGACCAUUUUGAAGAGGGGGCAACUGCUGAUUUUGUUUUAGGAAGACAAGGACAAUAUGUACCCAUUGUAUGUUAACUAAAACUGCAGACAUAUUUUAAUUGUUUUUUUUUUUCUCUCAAUUUAUAAUGCAAAGCAUUUUUGUUCAAAAUGCCUGUUAAUGUUUAUACAUUUUCAAAUAUAUGUA